GCUGGGGUAGCCAAGCCCGGCCUACGGCGGUGGUCUCGAAAACCACUGGUGUUUUCACCACAAGGGUUCAAAUCCCUUCCCCAGCG
rnacentral:tRNA from 1 species